rnacentral:rRNA from 1 species
AUUGAACGCUGGCGGCAGGCCUAACACAUGCAAGUCGAGCGGUAGAGAGAAGCUUGCUUCCCUUGAGAGCGGCGGACGGGUGAGUAAGUCCUAGGAAUCUGCCUGUCUGUUGUGUAGAACGUUCGGACACGGACGCUAAUACCGCAUACGUCCUACGGGAGAAAGCAGGGGACCUUCGGGCCUUGCGCUAUCAGAUGAUCCUAUGUCGGAUUAUCUAGUUGGUGGGGUAAUGGCUCACCAAGGCGACGAUCCGUAACUGGUCUGAGAGGAUGAUCAGUCACACUGGAACUGAGACACGGUCCAGACUCCUACGGGAGGCAGCAGUGGGGAAUAUUGGACAAUGGGCGCAAGCCUGAUCCAGCCAUGCCGCGUGUGUGAAGAAGGUCUUCGGAUUGUAAAGCCCUUUAAGUUGGGAGGAAGGGCAGUAAAUUAAUACUUUGCUGUUUUGACGUUACCGAAAGAAUAAGCACCGGCUAACUCUGUG